UCAGAUCGAACGCUGGCGGCAGGCCUAACACAUGCAAGUCGAGCGGUAGAGAGAAGCUUGCUUCUCUUGAGAGCGGCGGACGGGUGAGUAAUGCCUAGGAAUCUGCCUGGUAGUGGGGGAUAACGUUCGGAAACGGACGCUAAUACCGCAUACGUCCUACGGGAGAAAGCAGGGGACCUUCGGGCCUUGCGCUAUCAGAUGAGCCUAGGUCGGAUUAGCUAGUUGGUGAGGUAAUGGCUCACCAAGGCGACGAUCCGUAACUGGUCUGAGAGGAUGGUCAGUCACACUGGAACUGAGACACGGUCCAGACUCCUACGGGAGGCAGCAGUGGGGAAUAUUGGACAAUGGGCGAAAGCCUGAUCCAGCCAUGCCGCGUGUGUGAAGAAGGUCUUCGGAUUGUAAAGCACUUUAAGUUGGGAGGAAGGGCAGUUACCUAAUACGUGAUUGUUUUGACGUUACCGACAGAAUAAGCACCGGCUAACUCUGUG
rnacentral:rRNA from 1 species